CUCUCGCUCCUGCGUUCGCAGGCGGCGGCGGGCGGCCGGCUUCUCGCUCGGGCAGCGGCGGCGGCGGCUGUGGCGGCUUCCGGAGUCCCGCUGCGAAGAUGCUCAAAGUCACGGUGCCCUCCUGCUCCGCCUCGUCCUGCUCUUCGGUCACUGCCAGUGCGGCCCCGGGGACCGCGAGCCUCGUCCCGGAUUACUGGAUCGACGGCUCCAACAGGGAUGCGCUGAGCGAUUUCUUCGAGGUGGAGUCGGAGCUGGGACGGGGUGCUACAUCCAUUGUGUACAGAUGCAAACAGAAGGGGACCCAGAAGCCUUAUGCUCUCAAAGUGUUAAAGAAAACAGUGGACAAAAAAAUCGUAAGAACUGAGAUAGGAGUUCUUCUUCGCCUCUCACAUCCAAACAUUAUAAAACUUAAAGAGAUAUUUGAAACCCCUACAGAAAUCAGUCUGGUCCUAGAACUCGUCACAGGAGGAGAACUGUUUGAUAGGAUUGUGGAAAAGGGAUAUUACAGUGAGCGAGAUGCUGCAGAUGCUGUUAAACAAAUCCUGGAGGCAGUUGCUGUUACAGGAAUAUUCCAAGAUGCAUAGAACCUCAAGA
rnacentral:sRNA from 1 species